CCUGGUGGCUAUGGCGAGGGACCCCAACCCGAUCCCAUUCCGAACUCGGCCGUUAAAACCCUCUGCGCCAAUGGUACUGCAUCUUAAGAUGCGGGAGAGUAGGGCGCCGCCAGGC
rfam:Pseudoxanthobacter soli DSM 19599 genome assembly, contig: EJ95DRAFT_scaffold00020.20